AACGAACGCUGGCGGCAGGCUUAACACAUGCAAGUCGAGCGCCCCGCAAGGGGAGCGGCAGACGGGUGAGUAACACGUGGGAACCUACCCUUUUCUGCGGGAUAGCUCUGGGAAACUGGAAUUAAUACCGCAUACGCCCUACGGGGGAAAGAUUUAUCGGAGAAGGAUGGGCCCGCGUUGGAUUAGCUAGUUGGUGGGGUAAUGGCCUACCAAGGCGACGAUCCAUAGCUGGUCUGAGAGGAUGAUCAGCCACAUUGGGAUUGAGACACGGCCCAAACUCCUACGGGAGGCAGCAGUGGGGAAUAUUGGACAAUGGGGGCAACCCUGAUCCAGCCAUGCCGCGUGAGUGAUGAAGGCCUUAGGGUUGUAAAGCUCUUUCACCGGUGAAGAUAAUGACGGUAACCGGAGAAGAAGCCCCGGCUAACUUCGUGCCAGCCGCCGCGGUAACAC
rnacentral:rRNA from 1 species